rnacentral:rRNA from 1 species
UACGUAGGGUGCGAGCGUUGCCCGGAUUUAUUGGGCGUAAAGCGCGCGUAGGCGGCCCUGUAAGUCCGUUGUGAAAGUCAAAGGCUCAACCUUUGAAAGCCGAUGGAUACUGCAGGGCUAGAGUCCGGAAGAGGCGAGUGGAAUUCCUGGUGUAGCGGUGGAAUGCGCAGAUAUCAGGAGGAACACCAAUAGCGAAGGCAGCUCGCUGGGACGGUACUGACGCUAAGGCGCGAAAGCGUGGGGAGCGAACAGG